rnacentral:rRNA from 1 species
UAACGCGAAGAACCUUACCUGGGCUCGAACGGCUUCUCAACGACGGUGGAAACACCGUUACUCCGCAAGGGGGUGGAGUCGAGGUGCUGCAUGGCUGUCGUCAGCUCGUGUCGUGAGAUGUUGGGUUAAGUCCCGCAACGAGCGCAACCCUUGUCCUGUGUUGCCAUCCCGCAAGGGGGGACUCGCAGGAGACCGCCAGCGAUAAGCUGGAGGAAGGUGGGGAUGACGUCAAGUCCUCAUGGCCUUUAUGUCCAGGGCUACACACGUGCUACAAUGGCCGGUACAAAGCGCAGCUAAGCCGCGAGGUGGAGCCAAUCGCAAAAAACCGGUCUCAGUUCGGAUUGCAGGCUGCAACUCGCCUGCAUGAAGCUGGAAUCGCUAGUAAUGCCGUAUCAGAACGAUGGCGUGAAUACGUUCCCGGGUCUUGUACACACCGA